rnacentral:rRNA from 1 species
GACGAACGCUGGCGGCGUGCCUAAUACAUGCAAGUAGAACGCACAGUUUAUACCGUAGCUUGCUACACCAUAGACUGUGAGUUGCGAACGGGUGAGUAACGCGUAGGUAACCUGCCUGGUAGCGGGGGAUAACUAUUGGAAACGAUAGCUAAUACCGCAUAAUAUUAAUUAUUGCAUGAUAAUUAAUUGAAAGGUGCAAUUGCACCACUACCAGAUGGACCUGAGUUGUAUUAGCUAGUAGGUGAGGUAACGGCUCACCUAGGCGACGAUACAUAGCCGAGCUGAGAGGGUGAUCGGCCACACUGGGAAUGAGACCCGGCCCAGACGCCUACGGGAGGCAGCAGUAGGGAAUCUUCGGCAAUGGACGAAAGUCUGACCGAGCAACGCCGCGUCAGUGAAGGAGGGUUUCGGAUCGUAAAGCUCUGUUGUAAGAGAAGAACGGGUGUGAGAGUGGAAAGUUCACACUGUGACGGUAUCUUACCAGAAAGCGACGGCUAACUACGUG